CCUACGGGAGGCAGCAGUGGGGAAUAUUGGACAAUGGGCGAAAGCCUGAUCCAGCAAUGCCGCGUGAGUGAUGAAGGCCUUAGGGUCGUAAAGCUCUUUUACCCGGGAUGAUAAUGACAGUACCGGGAGAAUAAGCUCCGGCUAACUCCGUGCCAGCAGCCGCGGUAAUACGGAGGGAGCUAGCGUUGUUCGGAAUUACUGGGCGUAAAGCGUACGUAGGCGGUUAUUCAAGUCAGAGGUGAAAGCCCGGGGCUCAACCCCGGAACUGCCUUUGAAACUAGAUAGCUAGAAUCUUGGAGAGGUCAGUGGAAUUCCGAGUGUAGAGGUGAAAUUCGUAGAUAUUCGGAAGAACACCAGUGGCGAAGGCGACUGACUGGACAAGCAUUGACGCUGAGGUACGAAAGCGUGGGGAGCAAACAGGAUUAGAUACCCUGGUAGUCCACGCCGUAAACGAUGAUAACUAGCUGUCCGGGUACUUGGUAUCUGGGUGGCGCAGCUAACGCAUUAAGUUAUCCGCCUGGGGAGUACGGUCGCAAGAUUAAAACCUUAAAGGAAUUGACGG
rnacentral:rRNA from 1 species